rnacentral:rRNA from 1 species
UGGGGAAUAUUGGACAAUGGGCGCAAGCCUGAUCCAGCCAUGCCGCGUGAGUGAUGAAGGCCUUAGGGUUGUAAAGCUCUUUCGACGGGGACGAUAAUGACGGUACCUGUAGAAGAAGUCCCGGCUAACUUCGUGCCAGCAGCCGCGGUAAUACGAAGGGGGCUAGCGUUGCUCGGAAUCACUGGGCGUAAAGGGUGCGUAGGCGGGUCUUUAAGUCAGAGGUGAAAGCCUGGAGCUCAACUCCAGAACUGCCUUUGAUACUGAGGAUCUCGAGUUCGGGAGAGGUGAGUGGAACUGCGAGUGUAGAGGUGAAAUUCGUAGAUAUUCGCAAGAACACCAGUGGCGAAGGCGGCUCACUGGCCCGAUACUGACGCUGAGGCACGAAAGCGUGGGGAGCAAA